ACUCACUGUUUUCCUGGUGCUUAUGUUCUUCAUAUUUCUACACAGAUUUCCAUGAUCCUGAAGGGUGAGGGGAGCAUCGGAGUGGACAUGCUUCACGCCGGCGUUAACGACACAAUGCUGCGGCAGACAGAGACGCUGAAGAGGGACUUCAGGAGCCUGAUCGAGAUGGUGCGCAGCACAUCACCUGCAUGAUGAUCAUCGUGUCAGGACCACUUCCCAUAUAUAGAUGAGGACAUGAAAGGUUCAGCAGACUUUUUGCUUUAAAUGAAUGGUUAUUGUCAUGGUGUAAAGAACAGAAACUGCUUUUUGUUAAUAAUUGGAAUCUUUUCUGGGAGCUAGGCUUUUUAGAUCUCCUGUUGGACAACAUCUCCAGGACACUUCGCUCCAUGUGACUAGGCAAUUUGUGAAGACAGAUAAUCAAGAGAAGUCAGUUCCAGAUCCACCUUCCACACCAGACCUCUCUCUCACGAGGAUUGCUGUCUACUAGCAUAUUGUGUUCUCUUCAGACUUCGGGGAAUGCAGAUAUUACUCGGGGACACGAACACAUGAAUAUUGCAAGAAUAGAGAAAGUAAGAUAUAUUAUAUAUAUAUUUAGAUAUAUUUUUGUGGCAGUGUGAACUGGCCAUAAUGCUGUAUGAUAGGUGUGAGAUUCAUUAAACUUGAUUUGGUAUAAUACAUCUGUUCAUAAGCUAUUGCAUAUUAUUUUCAAUGAAUUAUUUGUAGUGGUUUGGUUAAGGGUGUGAUUAGCUGAUGUAUUAUUGUGGGAGCUUGUGAUUAGUUGAUAAAUGUGUUUAUUGUUAAUGAUAAUAUUUAAAUGCAAUGUGCUGAGUGCUUACUAAGACUUGCAUGUUUGUGCAUAAUGUUUUGACCCCGGAUGCUUACAGAAGGGUAUAGAUAUUUAAAUAUAUGGAAAUGUAUUUAUUAUUAAUAUAUCUCAAUCUAUGUGCUUCUGUUUGGGCUGAAUGCUUUCAUUCAUAUGUCGCUGUAUAUCCUGUUUUUAUUAAUAAUCUGGGUGUAUUACUGUUCAUAUUUGCUUGUUAAUAAAUUAACUGAAUUCA